rnacentral:rRNA from 1 species
UGCAAGUCGAACGAGAAAGUGGAGCAAUCCAUGAGUAAAGUGGCGCACGGGUGAGUAACACGUGACUAACCUACCCUGGAGUGGGGGAUAACUGAGGGAAACCUUAGCUAAUACCGCAUAACAUCUACGGGUCAAAGGAGCAAUUCGCUUCUGGAGGGGGUCGCGGCCGAUUAGUUAGUUGGCAGGGUAAUGGCCUACCAGACGAUGAUCGGUAUCCGGCCUGAGAGGGCGCACGGCACACACUGGAA